AGCCCAAACCAAGUUUGUUUCGGCAAACUUGGGGUUGUAGGACCUCGACAUAGGAAGACAAGAUUAGGAGAACGGUCUGGAAAGGCCGGCCAUAGAACAUGACAGCUGUGUAUCCGAAAAUCUUCGUUGGACUUAGAGGUAUCCUGAGUAGCGCGGGACACGUGAAAUCCUGUGUGAAUCUGCGGGGCCCAUCCCGUAAGGCUAAAUACUCCCGAGAGACCGAUAGUGAACCAGUACCGUGAGGGAAAGGUGAAAAGAACCUCGAACAGAGGAGUGCAAUAGAUCCUGAACCCGUCUGCCUACAAGCGGUAGGAGCAGCUUCGAGCUGUGACUGCGUGCCUUUUGCAUAAUGAACCUACGAGUUACUUUCUCUGGCAAGGUUAAGUGAUGAAGAGUCACGUGAGCCGAAGCGAAAGCGAGUCUGAAUAGGGCGAAUUAGUCAGAGGGAGUAGACGCGAAACCAAGUGAUCUACCCUUGGUCAGGUUGAAGGUUGGGUAAAACCAACUGGAGGACCGCACCGGUAAGCGUUGAAAAGCUUUCGGAUGAACUGAGGGUAGGGGUGAAAGGCUAAUCAAACUUGGAGAUAGCUCGUACUCCCCGAAAUGCAUUUAGGUGCAGCCUGUGGAGUUUCUUACGUGAGGUAGAGCGACUGAUUGGAUGCGAGGCUUUCACCGGCUAUCAAGUCCAGACAAACUCCGAAUGCACGUUAAGUAAGAUCCACGGAGUGAGGGCAUGGGUGCUAAGGUCCAUGUCCGAGAGGAGAAGAAUCCAGACCAUCGGCUAAGGUCCCGAAAUAAUAGCUAAGUUGACCAAACGAAGUCAGAGUGCGAAGACAGCUAGGAUGUUGGCUUGGAAGCAGCCAUUCAUUUAAAGAGUGCGUAACAGCUCACUAGUCGAGUGCUUUGGCGUGGAUAAUAAUCGGGCAUAAGCUAUUUACCGAAGCUGUGGGAUGUGUAAACAUCGGUAGGGGAGCAUUCUAGCGACGCUGAAGGUGAGAGGACAACUCUUGCUGGAGUUUCUAGAAAAGCAAAUGUAGGUAUAAGUAACGAUAAAGGAGGUGAGAAACCUCCUCGCCGAAAGACUAAGGGUUCCUGAUCAACGCUAAUCGGAUCAGGGUUAGUCGGGGCCUAAGGGGAAGCCGAACGGCGGACCCGAUGGAAGAACCGGUUAAUAUUCCGGUACUAAUUAUGUGAGCGAUGUGGAGACGGAGAUGUGACGGUCCUGCCACCUGACGGAAUAGGUGGUUGAAGGGUGUAGGAGUUGAUCUGAGUAGGCAAAUCCGCUCGGAGAUCCGAACCUGACAGUACUCUGAGUGCUUGCACAAGGAGAUAUGGACAACUGUAACGGUGCUCCCAAGAAAAUCCGCUAAGCAUAUUGCAUGAUUACCCGUACCAUAAACCGACACAGGUGGUUGGGUUGAGUAUACUAAGGCGCUCGAGUGAUUCGCGGUUAAGGAACUAGGCAAAAUAGUCCUGUAACUUCGGAAUAAAGGACGCUCACAGUGAAGGCUGUGAGCCGCAGAGAAUAGGCCCAGGCGACUGUUUAACAAAAACACAUGGCUAUGCUAAAUCGAAAGAUACUGUAUAUAGCCUGACACCUGCCCGGUGCUGGAAGGUUAAGAGGAGAUGUCAUCGCAAGAGAAGCAUUGAAUUGAAGCCCCAGUAAACGGCGGCCGUAACUAUAACGGUCCUAAGGUAGCGAAAUUCCUUGUCGGGUAAGUUCCGACCUGCACGAAUGGUGUAACGAUCUGGGUACUGUCUCAACCGCGAGCUCGGUGAAAUUGUAGUAUCGGUGAAGAUGCCGAUUACCCGCAACGGGACGAAAAGACCCCGUGAACCUUUACUAUAGCUUUGCAUUGGAUUUGGGUAACAAAUGUGUAGGAUAGGCCGGAGACUGAGAAGCGGGUACGCCAGUAUUCGUGGAGUCGCCGUUGAAAUACGGCCCUUUUGUUAUUUGGGUUCUAACUCGCUGGAGCGAGGACAUUGCAUGGUGGGUAGUUUGACUGGGGUGGUCGCCUCCAAAAGAGUAACGGAGGCUUCU
rnacentral:rRNA from 1 species